rnacentral:rRNA from 1 species
CCUACGGGAGGCAGCAGUGGGGAAUAUUGCGCAAUGGGCGAAAGCCUGACGCAGCGACGCCGCGUGCGGGAUGAAGGUCUUCGGAUCGUAAACCUCUGUCAGCAGGGAAGAACGGUCACUGUGCUAAUCAGCAGUGAAUUGACGGUACCUGCAAAGGAAGCACCGGCUAACUCCGUGCCAGCAGCCGCGGUAAUACGGAGGGUGCGAGCGUUAAUCGGAAUUACUUGGCGUAAAGCGCUCGUAGGCGGUAUGUCAAGUCAAGGGGGAAAUCCCCGCGCUCAACGUGGGAAGUGCCUUUGAAACGGGCAAACUGGAGUGUGGGAGAGGAUAGCGGAAUUCCAGGUGUAGGAGUGAAAUGCGUAGAUAUCUGGAGGAACAUCAGUGGCGAAGGCGACUAUCUGGCACAUAACUGACGCUGAGGAGCGAAAGCGUGGGUAGCAAACAGGAUUAGAUACCCCGGUAGUC